CCUACGGGUGGCAGCAGUGGGGAAUAUUGCACAAUGGGGGAAACCCUGAUGCAGCGACGCCGCGUGAGUGAAGAAGUAUUUCGGUAUGUAAAGCUCUAUCAGCAGGGAAGAAAAUGACGGUACCUGACUAAGAAGCCCCGGCUAACUACGUGCCAGCAGCCGCGGUAAUACGUAGGGGGCAAGCGUUAUCCGGAUUUACUGGGUGUAAAGGGAGCGUAGACGGCAGCGCAAGUCUGGAGUGAAAUCCCAUGGCUUAACCAUGGAACUGCUUUGGAAACUGUGCAGCUAGAGUGCAGGAGAGGUAAGCGGAAUUCCUAGUGUAGCGGUGAAAUGCGUAGAUAUUAGGAGGAACACCAGUGGCGAAGGCGGCUUACUGGACUGUAACUGACGUUGAGGCUCGAAAGCGUGGGGAGCAAACAGGAUUAGAUACCCGUGUAG
rnacentral:rRNA from 1 species